UACGUAGGGUGCGAGCGUUGUCCGGAAUUAUUGGGCGUAAAGAGCUCGUAGGCGGUGUGUCGCGUCGGCCGUGAAAACCUGGGGCUUAACUCUGGGCGUGCGGUCGAUACGGGCAGGCUGGAGUUCGGUAGGGGAGACUGGAAUUCCUGGUGUAGCGGUGAAAUGCGCAGAUAUCAGGAGGAACACCGGUGGCGAAGGCGGGUCUCUGGGCCGAUACUGACGCUGAGGAGCGAAAGCGUGGGGAGCGAACAGG
rnacentral:rRNA from 1 species